rnacentral:rRNA from 1 species
UCCGUAGGUGGAUAAUUAAGUCAGAGGUGAAAUCCUGCAGCUCAACUGUAGAAUUGCCUUUGAUACUGGUUAUCUUGAGUCAUUAUGAAGUGGUUAGAAUGUGUAGUGUAGCGGUGAAAUGCAUAGAUAUUACACAGAAUACCGAUUGCGAAGGCAGAUCACUAAUAAUGUACUGACACCGAUGGACGAAAGCGUGGGGAGCGAACAGGAUUAGAUACCCUGGUAGUCC